GGCCCGUUAGCUCAGUGGUUUGAGUGCGGUGCUGACAACAAUGACUGACACUGAGGUUGCAGGUUCGAUUCCUGCUCGGUCCC
rfam:Apaloderma vittatum contig54035, whole genome shotgun sequence.